GAGUGAUAGAGAAGACUGGCAGCUGCAGAGCAGGACAGACCAGAUUGGCCAGUACAACAGCAGAGGGCCAUAUUGGGCUUUGACUCAGGAAUCCUGGUGGAGGCAAUGAUGAGAGAGAAGAGAUGAAACACAGUAGGUUAAGCCAAGGUAGUUGUCAGGAUAGAAGGAGAGACAGGCAGGCCAGAUGGCUGUUAACCAUGUGGUAUGUCCCGACUUUCCAGCAUCAAUUUAAUGGCCAAAUUAAAAUCAGCAGAGCCAAGUGUUAGAGUUAUUGCUGCCUGAGUUAUAACAGCUGCCCUGGGAAUCUUGUCUGAACAACAAGUUAACUGCUGUUCCCAGUUAUAUCUGGUCUUUCCCACCCCCAAACAUACACAAAAGAUUUUUGUCAUUCUUGGCACUGGACAACAGAAGUGAUAAGACAUGCCAGCAGAACUCUAAAGGCAGAAUGUCCUUCCACCUGUUUUAUGCUGUAAGACAAACUUCCAAGUGCGAGGCAGUGUGGAGGGCUGUUUCCUUGAAUGGCAGCUGAAUGCACCAGCGGGAUCCUUGGCAGCAAUGCCCAGGCACUGAAGCUGGGCAUUCAGGAGAGCUAAAUGGAGAAAAGAAACUUGAGCAAACUGCUUCCUGGAACACUGAGAACCUGAAUGGGAAAUUAAGAAGAACCAGAUUAUUUCUAUUCUUCCACCAGCCAAGCAACUUCAGAAUGGGGGAAUCAAGCAAAACCAUGGUGAAGAGAUUCAUUUAACUAGGACAAGUGACUUAUUCUACAUCUCAGGAGACAGUUCCUUAAGGUGAUGAGCACAAAAGGAUCCAUCUUAUACAGUGCUUGCCAGCUUCCAUAAUACUACUCACCACGAUGUUGAAAUCACCUGUUCCAGAACCAAUCCUGUCCUUUGACAAGAAGGAUUUAAUUAUCAGUAGUGGUGGGGACUGGCUGGAGAGAGGAAAAACACUUCAAGGACUCUGCCACCAUUCCUAGAUGGAGAGUGAAAAGUUUUUACCAUGGAACUCUCUAACAGUUACUCUAUGGCAGUGCCUAUUUCAAACCUCCCUUAACUUCUGAUUGUAUAGAUGUUUGUUUCAUUUGUUCAUCUGUUUGUUCACUUAGAGAUGUUUUAAGCCUUAAGAGAGAUAGUGGACAAGACAAUGCCUUGGAAAAGUACAAAGCUCAAUCCAAGUAAACUGUUUUUAAACUAGGAACUUAUGAAGCCUAAAAUAUAAAAUGUAUGUACAUGGAUAUGCUCUGAAGUGAGGUGGAGGGGUAGAAAUCGACAUGGCGAUAUUGUACUACAGCUUUGCAAGAUGUUACCAUUGGGGGAAAAUGCUUGAAGGGUACACGGGAUAUCUCUGCCUUAUUUCUUACAACUGCAUGUGAAUCUACAGUUAUCUCAAAAUAAAAAUUUAUUUAA
rnacentral:lncRNA from 1 species